ncrna:unclassified sequences NiCo riboswitch
ACAGUACAAACUGAGCAGACCGUGACACCCUGUCAUGGAGUCGGGUCACACAGGUGACAGUGGAAUCUAUUUCAUCCACGGGACAGUA